ACCCAAUUAGUCUAAUGGAUAAAACAGAUGGCUACGAACCAUCAAUUAUAGGUUCGAUUCCUAUAUUGGGUA
rnacentral:tRNA from 1 species